rnacentral:rRNA from 1 species
CCUACGGGUGGCAGCAGUGGGGGAUAUUGGACAAUGGGGGAAACCCUGAUCCAGCGACGCCGCGUGAGUGAAGAAGUAUUUCGGUAUGUAAAGCUCUGUCAGCAGGGAAGAAAGAAAUGACGGUACCUGACCAAGAAGCCCCGGCUAACUACGUGCCAGCAGCCGCGGUAAUACGGAGGGGGCAAGCGUUCUCCGGAAUUACUGGGUGGAAAGGGGGCGUAGACGGUGAUGCAAGUCUGGAGUGAAAGGCGGGGGCCCAACCCCCGGACUGCUAUGGAAACUGUGUAACUUGAGUGCAGGAGAGGUAAGCGGAAUUCCUAGUGUAGCGGUGAAAUGCGUAGAUAUUAGGAGGAACACCAGUGGCGAAGGCGGCUUACUGGACUGUAACUGACGUUGAGGCUCGAAAGCGUGGGGAGCAAACAGGAUUAGAUACCCGAGUAGUC